UGAUCCAUUUCUACUUGGAUAACUGUGGUAAUUCUAGAGCUAAUACAUGCCCAACAGCUCCGACCCCGGGCUUCACGGUUCGGGGAAAGAGCGCUUUUAUUAGUUCAAAACCAGUCGGGGGUUUCGGCCCUCGUGCUUUGGUGACUCUGGAUAACUUUGAGCCGAUCGCAUGGCCUCGAGCCGGCGACGCAUCUUUCAAAUGUCUGCCCUAUCAAAUGACGACGGUACGUGAUCUGCCUACCGUGUUGACUACGGGUAGCGGGGAAUCAGGGUUCGAUUCCGGAGAGGGAGCAUGAGA
rnacentral:rRNA from 4 species